CCCGCUCAGAAACUUAAAGAUUGACGGGGCCCGCACAAGCGGUGGAGCAUGUGGUUUAAUUCGACGCAACGCGAAGAACCUUACCAGCCCUUGACAUGGGAAGUAUGGGCCGCAGAGACGCGGUCCCUUCAGUUCGGCUGGCUUCCACACAGGUGCUGCAUGGCUGUCGUCAGCUCGUGUCGUGAGAUGUUGGGUUAAGUCCCGCAACGAGCGCAACCCUCGUCUCCAGUUGCCGUCGGGUAAAGCCGGGCACUUUGGAGAAACUGCCGGUGACAAGCCGGAGGAAGGUGGGGAUGACGUCAAGUCCUCAUGGCCCUUACGGGCUGGGCUACACACGUGCUACAAUGGCGGUGACAGAGGGCAGCGAAGGGGCGACCUGGAGCUAAUCCUCAAAAGCCGUCUCAGUUCGGAUUGCACUCUGCAACUCGAGUGCAUGAAGGUGGAAUCGCUAGUAAUCGCGGAUCAGCACGCCGCGGUGAAUACGUCCGGCUU
rnacentral:rRNA from 1 species